ACUCCUACGGGAGGCAGCAGUAGGGAAUUUUGCCGUCAAUGGACGAAAGUCUGACGGAGCAAUGCCGCGUGAGUGAUGAAGGUUUUCGAAUUGUAAAGCUCUGUUGUAAGGGAAGAAUAGCAAGAAUAGGAAAUGAUUCUUGUCUGACGGUACCUUACCAGAAAGCCACGGCUAACUACGUGCCAGCAGCCGCGGUAAUACGUAGGUGGCAAGCGUUAUCCGGAAUUAUUGGGCGUAAAGCGCAUGUAGGCGGCUUUUUAAGUCUGAUGUGAAAGCCAGUGGCUCAACCACUGAAUUGCAUUGGAUACUGGAAAGCUAGAAUCUUGGAGAGGUAAGUGGAAUUUCAUGUGUAGCGGUGGAAUGCGUAGAUAUAUGAAGGAACACCAAUGGCGAAGGCACUUACUGGACAAGUAUUGACGCUGAGAUGCGAAAGUGUGGUAGCAAACAGGAUUAGAUACCCUGGUAGGCUCUG
rnacentral:rRNA from 1 species